GACGAACCGUGCGAACGUUGUUCGGAAUCACUGGGCUUAAAGGGCGCGUAGGCGGACCAUCAAGUCCGGGGUGAAAUCCUCCGGCUUAACCGGAGAAUUGCCUGGGAUACUGGUGGUCUUGAGGGAGGUAGGGGCACGCGGAACUUCCGGUGGAGCGGUGAAAUGCGUUGAUAUCGGAAGGAACGCCGGUGGCGAAAGCGGCGUGCUGGCCCUCUUCUGACGCUGAGGCGCGAAAGCCAGGGGAGCGAACGGG
rnacentral:rRNA from 1 species